rnacentral:rRNA from 1 species
AUUGAACGCUGGCGGCAUGCCUUACACAUGCAAGUCGAACGGCAGCACGGGAGCAAUCCUGGUGGCGAGUGGCGAACGGGUGAGUAAUACAUCGGAACGUGCCCAGUAGUGGGGGAUAAC